rnacentral:misc_RNA from 1 species
UCCUAGUUAACCUAGGCAGUCUCGCUAGAGUGCCCACCAUUACGCGCUGGCAACUAACGACAAGGGUUGCGCUCGUUGCGGGACUUAACCCAACACCUCACGGCACGAGCUGACGACAGCCAUGCAGCACCUGUGCAACUGUCUCUUGCGAGAAUUCCACAUUUCUGUGGCCGUCAGCUGCAUGUCAAAUCCAGGUAAGGUUCUUCGCGUUGCAUCGAAUUAAACCACAUGCUCCACUGCUUGUGCGGGUCCCCGUCAAUUCUUUUGAGUUUUACCCUUGCGAGCGUACUCCCCAGGCGGUAUACUUAUCGCGUUGGCUACGGUACAGUCAGGGUUGAGCCUAACUACACCAAGUAUACAUCGUUUAAGGCAAGGACUAC